rnacentral:rRNA from 1 species
AUAAAUUAAUAUAUUAUUUAUUUUUAUUAUUUUUAUUAUUUUUAACAGAAAUAACUUUUUUUUUAGUAAUUUUUAUUGAAUUAAUUUUUUUUAUAAUUAUAGUUUAUAGUACUGUGAAGGAAUUAUUAAUUAAUUUUUUAUAAGCAAAUUUAAUUUAUUGUACCUUUUGUAUCAGGGUUUAUUAAUUUUAAUAUAAUUAUUUUAUAUUUCCCGAAAUUAAAAGAGAUAUAUUAUUAUGGAGUUUUACGUUUUAUAGUAAUUUUUAAUUUUAAUAUAGGAGUUAUAUGCUAUUCAUUUUUAAAUAUCUGGUUUUUUAAUAAAUUAAUUUAAUUAAGACAAUGUUAAGUUAUUUUAUAAUUUUAUUUUUUUUAAUUUGCAUUGUUAAUAAUAUAGGGGAUAAGCUCUUUAUUAAUUUUAUAACCUUUAUAAUAUUUCAUGAUUUGUAGGCUUUAUAACAGCCAUCUUUUAUUUCGUUAUAGUUAAUUUUGUAAUUUUAUUUAUUUAUUUUGGUUUAAUUUUUUAUUAAAAUUUUUUAUUUAAUUUUAUUUUAUAUGUAACAAUGAUAGAAUUAGUAGUUUUGAAAAUUUAAAUUUAGUAAUUCGGCAAUUUUAGUUUCCGCCUGUUUAACAAAAACAUGUCCUGUAGAUUUAUAAUUUCAG